UCCAUCAUGACUCUUGACUUGAAGAGAGCGAGCGGAUAAUUCUGAUGUAAACGCAAUUGAAAUACCUUGAACAUUAUGCAUGCCUCAGGGUAUGUCGUGCUAUAUAUAGUAAGAUCGAGGUGAUCGAUAUACCAAUUAGGCAAGGAGAUCGAAAGCUAUAGCUUGGCCUAGGGAGAGAAGAGAAAAGAAAGGAAGUGUCUUUUCACUAUAGUACUAAGAGGUCAAACAUCAAGAUGAGAAGUGUCUUUGCUCUCAUUACCCUCUUAUCACUUCUUCUGGUUCUCUUUGCUGGCAGAGAAGUGGUUGCAAGAAAAGAGGACGUUGGAGGAUCGGGAAGAAAGCCAUGGAUAGCCACCAAUGUUAGAAGCAAUUCAAGGUCGUAUUUAUCCACAAACAAGGAAAGGAGUUCAUUUUGCCAAGGAUUUCAAUCCUGAAUCAAAAGGUGAAAAUAUAAAGGGGCACAAGCUUAAGCCCAAUACCGCCGGAGAUCUCAUUCAUCCAAAAGCAAUUCAAGGUCGUAUUCAUCCACAAACAGGAAAAGGAGUUCAUUUUGCCAAAGAUUUCGAUCCUGAAUCUGAUAUAGGUGACAAUAUAAAGUGGCGUAGGCCCAACACCGCUAAAGAUCUCAUUCAUCCAGAAGCUAAGCCUAAAGCGGAGGAGAAUUCGCCAAUUAGCAAAGUCAAGCCUUAAACCUUAUUAAGGAUUUUAAGGAGCCAAAUGACGUGUCAGUACUGUGUAAUGAAUAAGUGACGUGUCAGUGUGUAAUGAAUAAAUAUUUCUUCUUUCAAAUGGAGGAGGAGGUUGUUAAUUAUAUAUGUUUUGAUGCUCUCAUGUGUAUGCAGUAUGUGUGUGCCGUAAAAUAUUUGAAUUGAUAAAUUAAUGAAGGAAUUGCGUAUCAUGCUCGCUUUUCAUC